UACGGAGGGUGCAAGCGUUAUCCGGAUUCACUGGGUUUAAAGGGUGCGUAGGAGGGCAGGUAAGUCCGUGGUGAAAUCUCCAAGCUUAACUUGGAAACUGCCAUGGAUACUAUCUGUCUUGAAUAUUGUGGAGGUGAGCGGAAUAUGCCAUGUAGCGGUGAAAUGCUUAGAUAUGACAUAGAACACCAAUUGCGAAGGCAGCUCGCUACACAUAUAUUGACUCUGAGGCACGAAAGCGUGGGGAUCAAACAGG
rnacentral:rRNA from 1 species